rnacentral:lncRNA from 1 species
AACUCUAAAACAACCAAUAACAUUUGUAUUUUAACCCAAGACAGUAUGCAUUUUUUAUGCUAAAGGACAUUCAUUAGAGAUUACCCUAAGCUGAAAAUAUGCGUAUUUAACAUUUGAAAGUGUCAACUGAUUUAUUACAAUAAUGUUCCAAUUUUAAAGGGAAAACACCAAACUAUUGCACCAGAAUCCUACUUCUGAAAGGAAGAUUAUUAACUAAUGCUAUUACAAUUUCGACAAAAUUAACAGCCUAAUGAAGCCUUUGCCCCUUUUGGAUAUAGACGAUCCAAUCAAAGCUCAGUUCACCAUAUGUAACCAUCAAUUCAGCAGGACAACAAUGUCCAAAUAGCAACCUUUGGCUUUUAAACUUGUUGAUUUGGCCAACAAGCGACCAAAUACCCAAGUUGUAGCCCAUGAUUAACAACAUAAACACCAUGUCAUUCAUCACAUAAGUAGCAGAAGAAAGAAAACUUCAGAAGCCAAUGCUCAGAAUUCAAUGUGAAAAGUUAACUAAAGGAAACUUCAAACAAAGCCAUUUUUAAGAGAACACUACCAAGUAUCAAUAUACCAACUAAGUUACUCAUACUAUUUUAUUUCAAACCUUAUACUCACAUAGCAACAAAUUUAUUUUAUUUAUAACAAAUGUAAUCAAUAACUACAUGAAAGAACACUCAUUCAUUACACAUAAUUUUGUAAUUUUUGAUCUUAUAAUCAUUCAAAUAGUACAUUAAGAGAGCUGAGAUCAUUACCAUAACAAGUAAAACCAAAAAGCAAUUGAAAGUGUUGGCCGAAAUCUAAGAAAUGAAGCAGCAACCAAGAACAAACAGCAGCAGUAGAGAAAACAGCCCAAAAAAUCAGAGUACUCGAAAAACUAACCUAGAAACCUAGCUAGAAAACUGAAGUUUUGAGGCCAGAAAAGUUUCAAGGGUUUUUUCUUGUGUUUUGAAAUUUUUUAGGUCAAAAUGUUUUGAUUAAUCUGUGUGAGUGCAGGUUUUCUUUUCUUUUUAUAGAGUGUCCCUAAUAGCAUCAAAAAGAAUAUUCUUAACCUAAAU